rnacentral:rRNA from 1 species
GAUGAACGCUGGCGGCGUGCCUAAUACAUGCAAGUCGAGCGAACAGAUGAGGAGCUUGCUCCUCUGACGUUAGCGGCGGACGGGUGAGUAACACGUGGAUAACCUACCUAUAAGACUGGGAUAACUUCGGGAAACCGGAGCUACUACCAGCUAAUAUAUUGAACCGCAUGGUUCAAUAGUGAAAGACGGUUUUGCUGUCACUUAUAGAUGGAUCCGCGCCGCAUUAGCUAGUUGGUAAGGUAACGGCUUACCAAGGCAACGAUGCGUAGCCGACCUGAGAGGGUGAUCGGCCACACUGGAACUGAGACACGGUCCAGACUCCUACGGGAGGCAGCAGUAGGGAAUCUUCCGCAAUGGGCGAAAGCCUGACGGAGCAACGCCGCGUGAGUGAUGAAGGUCUUCGGAUCGUAAAACUCUGUUAUUAGGGAAGAACAAAUGUGUAAGUAACUAUGCACGUCUUGACGGUACCUAAUCAGAAAGCCACGGCUAACUACGUG